rnacentral:rRNA from 1 species
UACGUAGGCAGCGAGCGUUGUUCGGAAUUACUGGGCGUAAAGAGUGUGUAGGCGGUGCUCCCAGUCUGUUGUGAAAUCUCCCGGCUUAACUAGGAGGGUGCAGCGGAAACUAGAGUGCUAGAGGGUGGGAGAGGUAAGCGGAAUUCCUGGUGUAGCGGUGAAAUGCGUAGAUAUCGGGAGGAACACCUGUGGCGAAAGCGGCUCACUGGACCACAACUGACGCUGAGGCGCGAAAGCUAGGGGAGCAAACAGG